AUUGAACGCUGGCGGCAGGCCUAACACAUGCAAGUCGAACGGUAACAGGAAACAGCUUGCUGUUUCGCUGACGAGUGGCGGACGGGUGAGUAAUGUCUGGGAAACUGCCUGCUGGAGGGGGAUAACUACUGGAAACGGUAGCUAAUACCGCAUAACGUCGCAAGACCAAAGAGGGGGACCUUCGGGCCUCUUGCCAUCGGAUGUGCCCAGAUGGGAUUAGCUAGUAGGUGGGGUAACGGCUCACCUAGGCGACGAUCCCUAGCUGGUCUGAGAGGAUGACCAGCCACACUGGAACUGAGACACGGUCCAGACUCCUACGGGAGGCAGCAGUGGGGAAUAUUGCACAAUGGGCUCAAGCCUGAUGCAGCCAUGCCGCGUGUAUGAAGAAGGCCUUCGGGUUGUAAAGUACUUUCAGCGGGGAGGAAGGGAGUAAAGUUAAUACCUUUGCUCAUUGACGUUACCCGCAGAAGAAGCACCGGCUAACUCCGUGCCAGCAGCCGCGGUAA
rnacentral:rRNA from 1 species